CCGCCACAACACACAAACCAACACAGCUUUGCGAGUCUGAUGUCGAUGUCUUCCCUAUAGAUGAUUCCAGAGACUCUGUGAGGCCACUAUUACAAGAUGCGACCUCACAAAAGAUGUUAACGAUGCUGUCAGACCUGACCAGAGCAGUUAACGAACUCCGUGAGGAGGUCAGAGCCAACCGCCAUCCCUGCUGCAAUGAAUCUGUAGAUGCUGGGGUAUUGCCUCUGGAUUUGCCCUUGCACAACAUGGAGGAGCUAAACAAUGCAGAGGCAGCUCUUCAAUCACCGGAGGCAAAUAAGGCAAUGGUGAGACGCUUUGCCUUGAUUGAAGAGAACCAGACUGGAGGUGCGACUCCGCCGCACCGCCAAACGAGCUGGCCUCGGUACUCAAGUGGGCAGGGAAAAAAACCAAUGACCAGACAGAGCAAAAAUGGGCAUUUAAAGAGACAGCGCUGUGCAGAUGCAUAUUUGAUGGCCUGACGCAGCAGGUAGGGGCGAACUCUAUGUCUGAGUUUGUCUUUGCUCAAGCAGUCCAGAAAUGGCUCAGAUACGCUCUGGAUCGUAUGGGUGGCGCAGGACGCACAUCAUCCAUCCCCAUCCCGGAGUAAAAAUUAAAAAGUGAUGUGAAACAUAGAAAUCUUAAUAGGAAACUUUGUCUUUUAAUAAAAUAUUUUGCAAACGAUACAUGUCUAUUGACCAUUUUUUGUUUAGUUUUUUU
ensembl:lncRNA